rnacentral:tRNA from 1 species
UCCCUGGUCGCUCAGAUGGUAAAGAAUCUGCCUUCCAUGCAGGAGACCUAGGUUUGAUCCCUGGGUGGGGAA